UACGGAGGGAGCUAGCGUUGUUCGGAAUUACUGGGCGUAAAGCGCACGUAGGCGGCUUUUUAAGUCAGAGGUGAAAUCCCGGGGCUCAACCCCGGAACUGCCUUUGAAACUGGAGAGCUAGAAUCUUGGAGAGGCGAGUGGAAUUCCGAGUGUAGAGGUGAAAUUCGUAGAUAUUCGGAAGAACACCAGUGGCGAAGGCGACUCGCUGGACAAGUAUUGACGCUGAGGUGCGAAAGCGUGGGGAGCAAACAGG
rnacentral:rRNA from 1 species